rnacentral:tRNA from 1 species
GAGGGUGUAGCUCAGUGGGAGAGCACAUGCUUAGCAUGCACAAGGUCCUGGGUUCAAUCCCCAGUAUUUCCA